CUGGCCUCUGCUGGAGCCAGUCAGUCUUCAGAAACAAGAGUGUGUGUUUUCACUACAUUUCAAGGCCGUGGAGAUGUCGAAUCCUGAAAAUGACUUCCCAGGCUGCUGGAAGGAAAUGGACUUUCCACUAGAAACCAAGGUGGUGGAGUCAAAGCAAACUCUUCCUGUCACAUAAUUAGAAACAUCCUGCAACCCGAAGCUCAACCCCCGACGUCGAUCCGCCCCCGUUGUUCACCCAGAUAAUUAUGACAAGAGGGGAAGCAGGAAGCAGGACGGUCCAGCGGUGCGACACGUAAAGAAGUCCUCCCUGUCACCCGCCUGGUGGAAAACAAACAAAACAACAACAAGCAAACAAGAAAAAAAACAAAAGAGAAUGAUCUAAAUCAGUGCUGUUGCUACAACUUCUUCUCCUGAAGCUUUUGUCUUGUUCCUUUGUUUGUUUUUGUUCCUCACACUAACAGCAAAACAAACAAGCCCAGCUCCCACAACCUUGAGAGUGACUGUUAGCCUUCAUCUCGUUCUCUUUUUUUUCCUCUUUUUCAUUCCUCUUUCCUCCCACUCAGACAUCACUCCCGUGUAACUUCCCCGCUGUUUGAUGAUCCCCGUGUUAAGUGCUCGGCAGCUGAGGACGUUUGUUUGUGGCGGCUCGCUGUGUCAAGGUGUUUGCAGAUAUUAAGUGAUUGUUACACGAAGACUAAUUAAAAAGGUGAAUUUCAAAAGCAGUAAAUGAAUAUGCAAAUGG